GUUCGCAAAAUGGCCGAUGUGAAUUGUUCGAGUGAAAAAACGUGUCGGGCGGAGAGGACCGAGUGUAAUUAUUGCCGGACUACGAGUUCAAGUUCCGAAAAAAGGCGUUAAAAAGGUGCUAUAUUUGAACAAGGCACUGAUGAAGUCCAAUCUGCGUUCAAAUUCGCGAUGCUCAUACAUAACCAAAACCUCACGAGUAGGAGGUUCGAGCUGCAAGCUUACGUCGACGUCAUCAACACUGCCGACGCUUUCAAACUUUCGAGAUUAAUUUGCAACCAAUUUUCAAGAGGGGUGUUUUCGAUGUUGGGUGCGGUGAGCCCUGAUUCGUUCGACACCCUUCACUCCUACAGCAACACAUUCCAAAUGCCUUUUGUCACCCCCUGGUUCCCAGA